UGUAAAACGGACACAAAAACAAAGAAGAAAUGCACAUGAGACAACACAGUGAUAGAAGCCUUUUCUAAACAGUUUCCACUUUGUCUGGGAGAACCCUCCAGGUCAUCCAAAAUGGUGAGGCUGAAUCAUAACAGGUGGACUAUGUUUUGCAAAACUGAUUUGACACUGAGAAGAUGUACUGAUUGAAAUGACUGAACUGUGCUAUUUCAAGAUACUCUUUAAUUUUUUUUGGCAAAGCUAGAUAUACUUUCUGAGGUAGAAUAAUGUCUGUCUUAAUGAAUUCAUUAACAAGGUCAUAUAGUGCCUUAUUAUUCUGAUUUUAGGUAUAAAUUUUCACUUUUUAGAUUUUCUUAAAAUAAGUUAUGAUUAUGAUUAUGCUUAUUAUGAUAAUUUGUUUUGGCAUCUCCUAUGACUAUUAAAUUGAUGAUUUAAAAUACUUAUCCCCUAUGUAAGUUACAUAAUUAACUCAUGCUACAUUAUGAAAUAGUUUUUUCAUUCAAAAUUAAACUUCAAUUAUCCUUGCUUCUUUCUCUCCUUUUCUAAUCCAGCAAAUCAGAUCUAUUUUUAUGUUUACAUUUUUUAAUCAACUACACAUCCCUUUAAAUCUGU
rnacentral:lncRNA from 1 species